UACGGGGGGAGCAAGCGUUGUUCGGAUUUACUGGGCGUAAAGGGCGCGUAGGCGGUCAGCACAAGUCAGUUGUGAAAUCUCCGGGCUUAACUCGGAAAGGUCAACUGAUACUGUGCGACUAGAGUGCGGAAGGGGCAACUGGAAUUCUUGGUGUAGCGGUGAAAUGCGUAGAUAUCAAGAGGAACACCUGCGGCGAAGGCGGGUUGCUGGGCCGACACUGACGCUGAGGUGCGAAAGCGUGGGGAGCAAACGGG
rnacentral:rRNA from 1 species